CAAAAAUACAACAUCCUAUUGCAAAAUCGCUCAUCAGGCUGCCAGGAGCCUGCUGCUUGCAGCAAGCAUCGCUUACAGCCUACAUCUCUUUGUCUUGCCACAAGCUCACACGUUAAACUUGUGGGGUGUAGAUAUGUCCCUGGUUUACUGCACUGAAAUCCUCAGCUUCCUUUGACUGCACCCUGGCUGGAUCAAUAACCUUCCAGGAAAUACCCCUUACUGCUUUGUAAUGGGAAAAUUGAUGGAUUUUGAAACAGAAACAAGUUAUCUUCCUGAAAAGCUGUAACUGUGAAUGAACAAUUUUAAAUGAAUGCUGACACCUGCACAACAACCAUGUUUCUGCAGUUCUCCAGAGAAAAUGCAGGAGCAAAUAACAUUUCAGAGCUGCAGGGACAUUAAAAACAUUAAGUGUUCAUUUUG